rnacentral:rRNA from 1 species
GAGUUUGAUCCUGGCUCAGAUUGAACGCUGGCGGAAUGCUUUACACAUGCAAGUCGAACGGCCCCCCAGGGGCAAGCCUGAUGGCUGGUGGACAACUGGUGACUUAUAUUUAGGAUCGUGCCCACUCGUGGGGGAUUACGUUACGAAAGUUACGCUCAUUCCGCGUAAAAUCCUAUGAUGAAAGCAGGGGACCGUANNGNCUCNCGCGGUUGGAGCGGCCGAUAUCAGAUUAGGUAAUUGGUAGGGCAAAGGCCUACCAAGUCAUCGAUCUGUAGCUGGCCUGAAAGGACGACCAGCCACACUGGGACUGAGACACGGGCCAUACUCCUACAGGAGGCAACACCGGGGAAUUUUGGACAAUGGGCGAAAGCCUGAUCCAACCAUUCCACGUGCCUGACGAACGCCUUCAGGAUGAAAGCUGCUUUUGAACGGAACGAAGAUGUCUCUGUUAAUACCAGGGGCUGAUGACGGUACCGUAUGACUAAGCUCCGGAAUAACUACGUGCCAACAGCCGCGGUAAUACGUACUGGUGCCAGCAGGUGAUCUCACUUACUGGAACCUUAGAACGCGCUUGCAGACUUGUAAGACUGAUGUCAAAUCACCGGCUCGAACUGCGAACUGCAUUUNUGACUGCAAAGAUAUACUGAGGAACAGGGGGAUGGCAUUCCCUGGCCUGCAUUGACGCUCAUGCUUGGAGGGUGGGAGCAUACGGGAUUAGAUACUUCGGUAGUUCACGCCCUAAACGGUGUCAGUUUGAUAGUUGGGUUUUCACUGACUCAGUAACGAAGUUAACGCGUCAAGUUGACGGACUGGGGUAGUCACGGCUGCAAGUUUGAAGCUCUAGAGGAAUUGACGGACACCCGCUCAAGCGGUGUGAUUUUGUGGUUUAAUUACGAUGCAACGCGAAAAACCUUACCCACAUUUGACAUGUAUGGAAUUCGCUAGAGUCGUUUAGUGCUCGAAAGAGAACCGUAACACAGCAGGUGCAUGGUCGUCGUCAGCUCGUGUCAUGUAGAUUUAAGUCUAAGUCCGACAACGAGCGUAACCCUUGUCAUUAGUCAUACGAAAGGGCACUCUAAUGAGACUGCCGGUGANCAAACCGGAGGAAGGUGGGGAUGACGUCAAGUCCUCAUGGCCCUAUAGGUGGGGCUACACACGUCAUACAAUGGCUGGUACAGAGGGUUGCCAACCCCCAANGNGGAGCUAAANCCAGAAAACCAGUCGUAGUCCGGAUCGCAGUCUGCAACUCGANUGCNUGAAGUNGGAAUCGCUAGUAAUCGNGGAUCAGCAUGUCNCGGUGAAUACGUUCCCGGGUCUUGUACACACCGCCCGUCACACCAUGGGAGUGGGUUUUGCCAGAAGUAGUUNGCCUAACCGCAAGGAGGCANGAUUACCACGGCAGGGUUAGUGACUGGGGUGAAGUCGUAACAAGGUAGCCG